AGAGUUUGAUCAUGGCUCAGGAUGAACGCUGGCGGCGUGCCUAAUACAUGCAAGUCGAACGGAGAGGAUAGCAAUAUCAUCUUAGUGGCGAACGGGUGAGUAAAACAUGGGUGAUCUGCCCCGAAGUGGGGGAUAGCAGUUCGAAAGGACUGGUAAUACCGCGUAAGCUCCUUGUCGUUAGAGAGCGAGGAGUGAAGGCGAAAGUCGCUUCGGGAGGAACCUGUGUCCCAUCAGCUAGUUGGUAGGGUAACGGCCUACCAAGGCGAAGACGGGUAGGAGGCCUGAGAGGGUGGCCUCCCACAAUGGAACUGAAACACGGUCCAUACACCUACGGGUGGCAGCAGUAGGGAAUAUUGCCCAAUGGACGAAAGUCUGAGGCAGCAACGCCGCGUGCACGAAGAGGCCUUCGGGUUGUAAAGUGCUUUUGACGAAGAAGAGGAAGGACAGUACUCGUCGAAUAAGCUUCGGCUAACUACGUGCCAGCAGCCGCGGUAACACGUAGGAAGCGAGCGUUAUCCGGAUUUACUGGGCGUAAAGCGUGUGCAGGCGGUCUUGUAAGUCGGAUGUGAAAGCUCCUGGCUUAACUGGGAGAGGUCGUUCAGAACUGCGAGACUAGAGAGCGAAAGAGGGAAGCAGAAUUCCGAGUGUAGUGGUGAAAUGCGUAGAUAUUCGGAGGAAUACCAGAGGCGAAGGCGGCUUCCUGGUUCGCAACUGACGCUGAGACACGAAAGCUAGGGUAGCAAACGGGAUUAGAGACCCCGGUAGUCCUAGCAGUAAACGAUGUAGACUAGACGUUGGUGAUGUAAAAGUCAUCAGUGUCGGAGCAAACGCGAUAAGUCUACCGCCUGGGGACUACGGCCGCAAGGCUAAAACUCAAAGGAAUUGACGGGGACCCGCACAAGCAGCGGAGCGUGUGGUUUAAUUCGAUGAUACACGAAGAACCUUACCAGGGCUUGACAUGCAGAUGGUAGUGAAGAGAAAUUGGAACGACCUUCGGGGAGUCUGCACAGGUGUUGCAUGGCUGUCGUCAGCUCGUGCCGUGAGGUGUUCGGUUAAGUCCGCUAACGAGCGCAACCCUUGCUGUAUGUUACAAGUGUCAUACGGGACUGCCGGUGGGAAGCCGGAGGAAGGUGAGGAUGACGUCAAGUCAGCAUGACCUUUAUGUCCUGGGCUACACACACGCUACAAUGGGUAGUACAACAGGUAGCGAAGCCGCGAGGCGGAGCCAAUCCCAGAAAGCUGUCCUCAGUUCAGAUUGCAGGCUGCAACUCGCCUGCAUGAAGAUGGAGUUGCUAGUAUACGCGCGUCAGCUUUAGUGCGUUGAAUACGUUCCCGGGUCUUGUACACACCGCCCGUCACGUCAUGGGAGCUGGCAACGCCUGAAGUCGGUAUCCUAACCGCAAGGAAGGAGCUGUCGAAGGCGGGGUCGGUGACUGGGACGAAGUCGUAACAAGGUAGGUGUACCGGAAGGUGUGGCUGGAUCACCUCCUU
rnacentral:rRNA from 1 species